rnacentral:rRNA from 1 species
CACCGCGGUUAUACGAGAGGCCCAAGUUGACAGGUCCCGGCGUAAAGAGUGGUUAAGGAAACCCCCACCCAACUAAAGCCGAACACCUUCAGAGCUGUUAUACGCUUCCGAAGGCAUGAAGCCCCACCACGAAAGUGGCUUUACCCCCCCCCCCCCCGACUCCACGAAAGCUGCGGAA